CAGAAGGACUAGCCUUAACUGAAAUCCCUCAUUGUAAGAGUUUCAUAAACACAGACUUGAACUGAAGCAUCUGUGGCUUUUUACUAGAACCAGGAAGCAAGGAUAGAGGAUAAAAGAAGGAUGACAUCUGUACAGGAAUUCAUAUUUACUGUUGCUUUAGGAUCUGGAUUUCAAGCAGACAAAAUGACAACAGCCUCUUCCUGAAGGCUCAUGGCUUCCAUCCUGGCAGCUACUCCACUCUUACAUCUCCAGACAGCAAAAGGGAUGGAGGAGGAAAUAGGCAGAUGACUAAACUUGCAAAACACACCCAAAGCAUCACCACUGAGAAUCAGGCCAAGCAAAGAUUGUCUGAGCUCACCGGAUCUGUGCAGCCAGCAGCAGAUGGCCCUUGAGCAGAAUGGUCUCAGCAUCUCAGUCUGUAAUCCACAGAGCAUCCUGCACCUGACAAGAGUUUACAAAGGUACCUUAAUAUCACUGGCAGAAGGAAACAAAGGCUUUGUGUGAAAGGCUGAAGUCUAAAUAAGUUAUACCUAGAAGAACACAACUGGCAGCAAGUGCAAUUAGGGAUAAAUUAACACAAAAAUUAAAUAUAUAAUCGAAGGUUGCAUCUUUUAUUUCACCUCCUUUUUAAAAUUAAGAGUAUGGGGAGAAACAUUGUUGGGAUAAUGUUUGAUGGAGAGAAAGAACUUGGGGAGAAAUUUUGGCAAAUAUUAACCUAAUAAAACUUGGUCAGU
ensembl:lincRNA